rnacentral:ribozyme from 1 species
UUUUUUUUUUUUUUUUUUUUUUUUUUUUUCUCACGAU